rnacentral:rRNA from 1 species
CCUACGGGGGGCUGCAGUGGGGAAUAUUGCACAAUGGGCGAAAGCCUGAUGCAGCCAUGCCGCGUGUGUGAAGAAGGCCUUCGGGUUGUAAAGCACUUUCAGCGGGGAGGAAGGCGUUAAGGUUAAUAACCUUGUCGAUUGACGUUACCCGCAGAGGAAGCACCGGCUAACUCCGUGCCAGCAGCCGCGGUAAUACGGAGGGUGCAAGCGUUAAUCGGAAUUACUGGGCGUAAAGCGCACGCAGGCGGUUUGUUAAGUCGGAUGUGAAAUCCCCGGGCUCAACCUGGGAACUGCAUUCGAAACUGGCAGGCUAGAGUCUUGUAGAGGGGGGUAGAAUUCCAGGUGUAGCGGUGAAAUGCGUAGAGAUCUGGAGGAAUACCAGUGGCGAAGGCGGCCCCCUGGACAAAGACUGACGCUCAGGUGCGAAAGCGUGGGGAGCAAACAGGAUUAGAUACCCGUGUAGUC